UCGCACGUCCGACGUUAUCUGUCAAAUCCCAUAUAAAUUUCGUCCGAUAAAAUCGCAUCCGAUGAGCGUUGCCACCGCCCUUAAUCUAGCUUUUGGUUAGGUUAUGCCUGUGGGUUAACUACUGCAUAUUUCAAUUCAGCCGUUAAGUGCUUUUGUGUUGUAUUGUGCGUUAAUAAAAUCAAAACAAUAGCACCAAAAACCUAUCAGAUAAACCAUAUCUUAUUUUGUGGACGAUACAGGGUUUUACAAUUGAUUGUAGACUUCCUGCUCAUUUUUUUUUUAAUUGUCGCUAUUGAUUUCUUACCAGCAGCAUAUAAUUUGGGUUGAGCGCUAUAGAUUUUUGAAAAGGUGCAAUUGAUUUCAACAGGCCAUUUUCUGACAGCUUUACCAGAGGCGCGUUUAGAACCCCUACAGUGAAAGAUCGAUAUGCUGUAGAAUCGGUUACUGUUUUUAAAUGCCGUCUGUAAUUAGUGUAAAGCAAUAAAUUUGCUAUGAAAAUCGAUUAUUUACUUAAAUACUGAUUUUACAAAUACAUAACGCAAGUUGUAGCAACAUUUAAAAAAUAAUAUCAUAUAAAAUAAAAAUAUCCACCGGUGUUUUUCAAAUUUGAAGAUAUGGAACUAGGCACAUAAACGCAGAUCACGAAAACGGAAUCGCUCAAUCCGCCCCACGAUCACCAAAACACACAAACACAAAAUAGAAACAAACGUGUUGCAAACAGUUCGCAACUAUAAAUUUGAUCAUAUUGAUACAACAGUGCCUCGUCGUGUACCAAUAGGUGCGUCAACAGUAUUUAUCUUCCGGACGGGAUUUGAUAGCAGUUGUAGCAGCGGUCUGUUCAAACAUGGAUGCAUCAGUUGCCGCAUCUCGACGCCGAAACUAAACAGAUUCUCCUAAGGAAAUUGCUCACGGACUUUGGUCAUCUUGUGUCAAUUUGAUAUUAGGUUUUUUUUUUGGUAAAUUCAUACAUUUUUUAGUCUCAACUUUGACACACCGCUUGCAGAGAUUGGUGAGAAUCAUCCUGUACCUUACGUUCAGAGGCUUACGUUAGACUUUUCCAUCGUAGUUACUCAGUGCGCCAGUUUCCACUCAAACACGUUGUUGUGGCGGCAGUAACAGUGUAGCACACUCUACUAACAGGUGUUGUAUCUACAUAAAGUUGUUCUAUUUUCUAGCCGGUAAGAGAUCAUUUCCUGGAUAGCAGUAAAACUAUUAGGAAUAUAAAAAUAAUAAGGAACUAUAUAAUCAAUAAAGCAUGAUACCAUGGGUUUAUUUUUCCCUUAUCAGUUCAAAGAAUCUUAACAGCUAUUGGUUUUGGUAUUAAUUAAAGGCAGGAUAAGUUCAUAAAAUAAUUAAACAAUUUAAACGUAACUAGGGAGUUCAUCUCUAUCACUUCAUUACAUCACAGUUGUUCAUACAUAAAUUCAAGAUCAGAUCAGUUUAAAGCUAAUAAAAAAAAAACAAAAAUAAUUCAAA